rnacentral:rRNA from 1 species
CCUACGGGUGGCAGCAGUGAGGAAUAUUGGUCAAUGGACGAGAGCCUGAACCAGCCAAGUAGCGUGAAGGAUGACUGCCCUAUGGGUUGUAAACUUCUUUUAUAUGGGAAUAACAUGUUCCACGUGUGGGAUUUUGUAUGUACCAUAUGAAUAAGGAUCGGCUAAAUCCGUGCCAGCAGCCGCGGUAAUACGGAGGGUCCGAGCGUUAUCCGGAUUUAUUGGGUUUAAAGGGAGCGUAGGUGGGUUGUUAAGUCAGUUGUGAAAGUUUGCGGCUCAACCGUAAAAUUGCAGUUGAAACUGGCAGUCUUGAGUACAGUAGAGGUGGGCGGAAUUCGUGGUGUAGCGGUGAAAUGCUUAGAUAUCACGAAGAACUCCGAUUGCGAAGGCAGCUCACUGGACUGCAACUGACACUGAGGCUCGAAAGUGUGGGUAUCGAACAGGAUUAGAUACCCCAGUAGUC